GAAAAGAACUUUGAAGAGAGAGUUCAAGAGUACGUGAAACCGUUCAGGGGUAAACCUGAGAAACCCAAAAGAUCGAAUGGGGAGAUUCAUCGACGACGAAGCUGGCUCCCGUUGGCGUGCGAUUCCCCCGUUGGGACCUCGGUUCCAGAACGCGGGGUACACCCCUUCGGCGAAUAACCGGCGACGUAGUCGUGCACUUCUCCCUUUGUAGAACGUCGCGACCCGUUGUGUGUCGGUCUACGGCCUGGGCUAUUUGCCUGUCGCGGUGGCAUUCGUUCGCUCGCGGCAGAGGCUCGGUCGCCCGGCCGGCUGCACGACGGUACUCCGACGGUAUCGGGCCGCAACCAAUCCAUUCUCGAAUGGUAUAUGCGUCCAGGCCCGUCGCAAGCUCGGACAGCACCCGGAGCGUGUGGACGCAGCGCCCUCCCCGGGUCUGGCCAGCUGUUAGCAGACGGUGUCCUCGGACCGGCCAAGCUUCGAAUUACCGGUCAGCGACGCUAUUGCUUUGGGUACUCUCAGGACCCGUCUUGAAACACGGACCAAGGAGUCUAACAUGUGCGCGAGUCAUUGGGACAUUGAAACCUAAAGGCGCAAUGAAAGUGAAAGUCGUCGUAAGAGUCGACCAAGGGAGGAUGGGCCGCGUCACGUCGCGGCCUCGCACUCCCGGGGCGUCUCGUUCUCGUUGAGAAGAGGCGCACCCAGAGCGUACACGUU
rnacentral:rRNA from 1 species